rnacentral:tRNA from 1 species
AAAAUAGAAGUAAUAUUACUACCAACUUCGACCUGGUCCAUGGCCCCGCCCUAUUUUA